UACGAAGGGGGCUAGCGUUGUUCGGAAUUACUGGGCGUAAAGUGUGCGCAGGCGGCUUCGCAAGUCGAGUGUGAAAUCCCCCGAGCUUAACUUGGGAAUUGCGCUCGAAACUACGGAGCUGGAGUGUGGCAGAGGAAGGUGGAAUUCCACGUGUAGCGGUGAAAUGCGUAGAGAUGUGGAGGAACACCGAUGGCGAAGGCAGCCUUCUGGGCCAACACUGACGCUCAUGCACGAAAGCGUGGGGAGCAAACAGG
rnacentral:rRNA from 1 species